CCCGGGAGAAGUUUCCUUUCCCUAAAUAUACCUGCAAUUUUCAAGUCCUUUUAAUUCACGCCUUUAAAUGAAAGGGUUGAGUAUACAAGGCAUGUGCCGGCGAUAACGGGCGAGUUGGCAUGAAGAGAGGCAGAGAUGGAUUAAUUAUGCAGAGAACAUGGAAAUUCUGCUUAUCAUCGGCUAGCAAAGGAGCCCGGCUCACAUAAUCAGCAAACGAAGGGAGAGGAAAAAAUAACAAUGCAAUGGCACCUUCCAGCCCAUCAUCAGGAUUUUUUCUACCCCCUUGUAAUUAAAAAAUAACAUACACUUAUAGCCCUAUCUCCUGUGCAGGCAAGGAGUGGAUGUCCACAAAAUAAUUGCACUGGGAUAUUAGAGCUGGCGACACGGGCUGUCCAUUCCGGCUUGCUCUCCUGCUCACCCUCUCUUUCUCUUUUGGCCUCUCAGGCACUUUGCUUCUGAACCCAGUCCAAAUCAGAGAGACGUCUCAGGUGACAUUCAAGCUCGGUUUCCAAAAAUCCCAAAUUGGUACCUUAUCAUGAUCCAAGCAAACAUACAUACAUAUAUGAUAAAUAUUUGGAGGGCUGACUCUAGAGGAGGCUUUGGAACUGAUCACCUGUGGACUAUCUGGUCAGUUUCAUUUUUUAUGAAACAUGUCCAAAUAGCCUUCAUUUUGCAAAGUGGCUGGAUUAAAAUGGUGGCUGUGCAACGGCUGUGCUAUCUUCUCAAAUCAUUUAACUUACCUACAAGUUUUUGUUUCUAUUCCCUUUGCCAACUCAUUUUAUAAAUGUUAAGUUAAUGAUUGCAAUGUCUGCACCUCAAAAUCAGAAUUCGCAAUUCUGUAUUGUCAUUGUAAAAUCUGACAGCUCAAUGCCUUGUAUUUCUCUAAAUGCCAAAAGACUACAAUAAACCUAGUUUAUUGCUUUAAAGAAAA
rnacentral:lncRNA from 1 species